rnacentral:rRNA from 1 species
AGAACGAACGCUGGCGGCAGGCCUAAAACAUGCAAGUCGAACGCUCUAGCAAUAGGGAGUGGCGCACGGGUGAGUAACAUGUGGGAAUAUGCCUUUUGGUACGGAACAACUUUUGGAAACGAAAGCUAAUACCGUAUGGUCCCUUCGGGGUAAAGAUUUAUCGCCAAAAGAGUAGCCCGCACUGGAUUAGCUAGUUGGUAAGGUAAUGGCUUACCAAGGCGACGAUCCAUAGCUGGUCUGAGAGGACGAUCAGCCACACUGGGACUGAGACACGGCCCAGACUCCUACGGGAGGCAGCAGUUAGGAAUCUUGGACAAUGGGCGCAAGCCUGAUCCAGCCAUGCCGCGUGAGUGAUGAAGGCCUUCGGGUUGUAAAGCUCUUUUGUGCGGGAAGAUAAUGACGGUACCGCAAGAAUAAGCCCCGGCUAACUUCGUGCCAGCAGCCGC